rnacentral:rRNA from 1 species
AGUGAACGCUGGCGGCAGGCCUAACACAUGCAAGUCGAACGAACUCUUCGGAGUUAGUGGCGGACGGGUGAGUAACACGUGGGAACGUGCCUUUAGGUUCGGAAUAACUCAGGGAAACUUGUGCUAAUACCGAAUGUGCCCUUCGGGGGAAAGAUUUAUCGCCUUUAGAGCGGCCCGCGUCUGAUUAGCUAGUUGGUGAGGUAAAGGCUCACCAAGGCGACGAUCAGUAGCUGGUCUGAGAGGAUGAUCAGCCACAUUGGGACUGAGACACGGCCCAAACUCCUACGGGAGGCAGCAGUGGGGAAUCUUGCGCAAUGGGCGAAAGCCUGACGCAGCCAUGCCGCGUGAAUGAUGAAGGUCUUAGGAUUGUAAAAUUCUUUCACCGGGGACGAUAAUGACGGUACCCGGAGAAGAGGCCCCGGCUAACUUCGUGCCAGCCGCCGCGGUAA